GACGAACGCUGGCGGCGUGCUUAACACAUGCAAGUCGAACGGGCCUGUCUUCUUUUUUGGGGGGUGGGUUGAGUGGCGAACGGGUGAGUAUCACGUGAGUAACCUGCCCUUCGGUCCUGGAUAACCGCUUGAAAGGGCGGCUAAUACGGGGUGGUCCGGUUGGUCCGCAUGGGCUGGUCGGGAUAGAUUCACUGUUUUUGGUGUUUCGGCGGGGGAUGGGCUCGCGGCCUAUCAGCUUGUUGGUGGGGUGAUGGCCUACCAAGGCGGUGACGGGUAGCCGGCCUGAGAGGGUGGGCGGCCACACUGGGACUGAGAUACGGCCCAGACUCCUGCGGGAGGCAGCAGUGGGGGGUAUUGCACAAUGGGCGGAAGCCUGAUGCAGCGACGUCGCGUGAGGGAUGGAGGCCUUCGGGUUGUGAGCCUCUGUUUCCGGUGGUGAAGGCCCUGUCCGUGUGGUGGGGUUGACGGUAGCCGGGGAUGAAGCGCCGGCUAACUACGUG
rnacentral:rRNA from 1 species